CUGCUGCCUUCCGUAGGAGUUUGGGCCGUGUCUCAGUCCCAAUGUGGCCGAUCACCCUCUCAGGUCGGCUACUGAUCGUCGCCUUGGUGAGCCGUUACCUCACCAACAAGCUAAUCAGACGCGAGCUCAUCCAUAUCCGAUAAAUCUUUGAUUGUCGAAAGAUGCCUUCCAACAAUAUUAUGCGGUAUUAUCAGUCGUUUCCAACUGUUAUCCCCCUGAUAUGGGCAGAUUGCUCACG
rnacentral:rRNA from 1 species